AGAGUUUGAUCAUGGCUCAGAUUGAACGCUGGCGGCAGGCCUAACACAUGCAAGUCGAGCGGUAGCACAGAGAGCUUGCUCUCGGGUGACGAGCGGCGGACGGGUGAGUAAUGUCUGGGAAACUGCCUGAUGGAGGGGGAUAACUACUGGAAACGGUAGCUAAUACCGCAUAACGUCGCAAGACCAAAGUGGGGGACCUUCGGGCCUCAUGCCAUCAGAUGUGCCCAGAUGGGAUUAGCUAGUAGGUGGGGUAACGGCUCACCUAGGCGACGAUCCCUAGCUGGUCUGAGAGGAUGACCAGCCACACUGGAACUGAGACACGGUCCAGACUCCUACGGGAGGCAGCAGUGGGGAAUAUUGCACAAUGGGCGCAAGCCUGAUGCAGCCAUGCCGCGUGUGUGAAGAAGGCCUUCGGGUUGUAAAGCACUUUCAGUGGGGAGGAAGGCGUUAAGGUUAAUAACCUUGGCGAUUGACGUUACCCGCAGAAGAAGCACCGGCUAACUCCGUGCCAGCAGCCGCGGUAAUACGGAGGGUGCAAGCGUUAAUCGGAAUUACUGGGCGUAAAGCGCACGCAGGCGGUCUGUCAAGUCGGAUGUGAAAUCCCCGGGCUUAACCUGGGAACUGCAUUCGAAACUGGCAGGCUAGAGUCUUGUAGAGGGGGGUAGAAUUCCAGGUGUAGCGGUGAAAUGCGUAGAGAUCUGGAGGAAUACCGGUGGCGAAGGCGGCCCCCUGGACAAAGACUGACGCUCAGGUGCGAAAGCGUGGGGAGCAAACAGGAUUAGAUACCCUGGUAGUCCACGCCGUAAACGAUGUCGAUUUGGAGGUUGUGCCCUUGAGGCGUGGCUUCCGGAGCUAACGCGUUAAAUCGACCGCCUGGGGAGUACGGCCGCAAGGUUAAAACUCAAAUGAAUUGACGGGGGCCCGCACAAGCGGUGGAGCAUGUGGUUUAAUUCGAUGCAACGCGAAGAACCUUACCUGUCUUGACAUCCACAGAACUUUCCAGAGAUGGAUUGGUGCCUUCGGGAACUGUGAGACAGGUGCUGCAUGGCUGUCGUCAGCUCGUGUUGUGAAAUGUUGGGUUAAGUCCCGCAACGAGCGCAACCCUUAUCCUUUGUUGCCAGCGGUCCGGCCGGGAACUCAAAGGAGACUGCCAGUGAUAAACUGGAGGAAGGUGGGGAUGACGUCAAGUCAUCAUGGCCCUUACGACCAGGGCUACACACGUGCUACAAUGGCAUAUACAAAGAGAAGCGACCUCGCGAGAGCAAGCGGACCUCAUAAAGUAUGUCGUAGUCCGGAUUGGAGUCUGCAACUCGACUCCAUGAAGUCGGAAUCGCUAGUAAUCGUAGAUCAGAAUGCUACGGUGAAUACGUUCCCGGGCCUUGUACACACCGCCCGUCACACCAUGGGAGUGGGUUGCAAAAGAAGUAGGUAGCUUAACCUUCGGGAGGGCGCUUACCACUUUGUGAUUCAUGACUGGGGUGAAGUCGUAACAAGGUAACCGUAGGGGAACCUGCGGUUGGAUCACCU
rnacentral:rRNA from 1 species